GGCUAGGGCUCAGUGAUAGAGUUCUUGCCUUGCAUGUGUGAGGCCCUGGGUUCGAUCCUCAGUACCA
rnacentral:tRNA from 1 species